GCGAAAGAUAUAUCGGGACGCUAAGUACGUGUAUCGUAGCUUUGACUAAUUCCAGUUCUAUGAUUAAAAUAUUCCGUCGUUCUCGAUAUAUCUAAUCGUACUCUCGCUGGCAUCAUAAUAGUUAAUACGCGUCAUCUGAGUAUCCGGAGUGUCAUGAUGGGGCCAACUUAGAACUAGGAUGCUAAAUUGCAAAGUCAGAGCGAAGAAAACAAGAUACGGGGAAUAUGAACAACGAUACAUCCACGUAUUUCUAGGUCUGUAGUAGAACGUGGCCGAUCUUGAGUUCCCGCUAUUUUGUAUUAUCACGGUCGCGAGUGUAGCGUCGUGAAGUGAAAUGCGACCGACGUGGCACGACGACCGGACGUUACGGAGGCUGAAUGCUGAGGACCUGGACAGAUGGAUAUCGUGGGAUAUCAACGCGCAAUGGUGAGCAUACAAUUUCAACGCUCACAAAGCGUUAUGUUUCGUAGUGCGUAAAA